GGAAGUAGAGGUUGCGUUGUUUAUCAGUAAUCUGACGGAUGUCCCUUAAGACAGAUGAGGUCAGAUGAAAGGAAAUGACGCCGAAGUCCUGCAGAUUUAAGGGCUGCAGCCGGCUGGGCGUAAGGUGAAGAAGUUUACGACUGUCAUCAGGAAGCUGGUGGGGCGCUACUUGAA
rnacentral:ncRNA from 1 species